GCGGAUAAAACGGUCCCAUCAAGACUGAGAAAAAGCACACCAGCUAUUGGCACAGCGUGGGCAGUGGGGCCUACAGGAUGACUGACUUAGUCUACAGAGAUCCCGGCGUACUUAAGCAGAUGAAGACUCUUAAGAUGACAGAAGGUGAUUUUUCUGGUGAUCGAGGACUUCCGGGGUAAUGACAGUGAUGAAAUGCAGGGGACCUGGUUGCCCCCAAGUUUCCUGGCAGUGUGUGAUACUGAGGAGAUUCAUGUUACAUGUAAAGCUGUCCUCAUUUGUGACUAUGGACCUAUGGAGUUGGGACAAUCUCUAUGGGAAGCAGAAGGCAAGGACCCCGGUCAUUUUAGGUAGAAACAACAGCAUGCUAAUGCAAAAAAUUAUGCAGUGUGCUACUGAACUUCAGAGGUGAUCAAUAAAAGAAGAAUAAAAAGACUAAUAAAAGUA
rnacentral:lncRNA from 1 species